UACGUAGGAUGCAAGCGUUUGUCCGGAAUUAUUGGGACGUAAAGAGCGCGCAGGCGGUAUGACAAGUCAGAUGUGAAAGAGGCCGGCUUAAGCCGGCAAGGGUCAUUUGAAACUGUCAGACUAGAGUGCAGCAGAGGAUAGUGGAAUUCCCGGUGUAGUGGUGAAAUGCGUAGAUAGUCGGGAGGAACACCAGUGGCGAAGGCGACUAUCUGGCUGCAACUGACGCUGAGGCGCGAAGGCUAGGGUAGCAAACAGG
rnacentral:rRNA from 1 species